UAUUAAAAAUUUAAUCCACUUUUAUAGUUAAAAUUGAUGUGGCUGACAGAAUACAAAUAGUUACACAUAGUGUGCCAUACCUUAUGGUAAUGUAUAGGGACCAAUUUUUAGUAGUAGGAAUUGAUGGAUUUUUUAACA
rfam:Gossypium arboreum cultivar AKA8401 contig_16022_9, whole genome shotgun sequence.